UUUAGGCAUUUGUUCUGAAAUUUUUACCUUGGCUGUCAUUUUUACUUUCUUGUUUUACAGAUGCAUUAUCUUCUGUUUCACUAAGGGUGUUACAACUAAUUUCUUUAAAAUUUUCUGCAUUGUCUCUGUGUCUUCAGGGUUCCUUUUUUCUCUCUGUUUCAGGCUUGGUUUCCUGUGUUGGCAGAUUGCUCAUGUGUCUGUAGAUUGUCAGCUUUCUGUUCACAGUGAAGCAGGAGACAUCCAGAGGCCGACGGGAAGCUCCUGUAUAUGCGAUGCAUCCAGUCUAGGACUGCCUCCCACCUCAUCCUCCUGAGAAUCACCUAUGAGAACCCUGUGAGAAGUUCCUCCCAGUUCCGUCUCCUGAGGCUCCGGGGCUAUCCUCUUGUGCAGCGGCAAGCCCAAUAAACGGAACAUCGUUUUUCUCUAACUGCAGGCCAAAUUCUCCGAGUAAUAGUCAAGCAUUGGGAGGGGGAAAAUACCCAGAAACCUAACAGAUCUGCCAGCUUAAAGAUCUCAGAUCAAGAGCAGUAGACCAGAAGGGCCAGGCUGAAUGGAAAUUCACUUCUUUAACUUCAAGUAGAAUCUCAUUAUUACUACACUAUCUGCUGCAAAAUAUCAGACACUUCUUUUAGUAGCU